rnacentral:rRNA from 1 species
GACGUAGGGCGCGAGCGUUGUCCGGAUUUAUUGGGCGUAAAGAGCUCGUAGGCGGCUCGUUGCGUCGGCUGUGAAAACCCGCAGCUCAACUGUGGGCUUGCAGCUGAUACGGGCGGGCUGGGAUUCGGUAGGGGAGACUGGAAUUCCUGGUGUAGCGGUGAAAUGCGUAGAUAUCAGGAGGAACACCGGUGGUGUAGACGGCUCUCUGGACCGUAACUGACGCUGAGGCACGAAAGCGUGGGGAGCGAACAGG